GUUAACGUAGCAGAACUUGGUUAUGCAUAAGCCCUAAAACCUUCCCUUAGGGGUUCAAAUCCCCUCGUUAACU
rnacentral:tRNA from 1 species